rnacentral:misc_RNA from 1 species
GAUGAAGAACGUAGCGAAAUGCGAUAAGUAGUGUGAAUUGCAGAAUUCAGUGAAUCAUCGAAUCUUUGAACGCACAUUGCGCCCCUUGGUAUUCCAUGGGGCAUGCCUGUUCGAGCGUCAUUUGUACCUUCAAGCUUUGCUUGGUGUUGGGUGUUUGUCUCGCCUUUGCGUGUAGACUCGCCUUAAAAUAAUUGGCAGCCGGCGUAUUGAUUUCGGAUCGCAGUACAUCUCGCGCUUUGCACUCAUAACGACAGCGUCCAAAAGUACAUUUUACACUCUUGACCUCGGAUCAGGUAGGGAUACCCGCUGAACUUAAGCAUAUCAAUAAGCGGAGGA